rnacentral:rRNA from 1 species
GACAGAGGGUGCAAACGUUGCUCGGAAUCACUGGGCGUAAAGGGCGUGUAGGCGGGACAGUAAGUCGGGCGUGAAAUCCCUGGGCUCAACCCAGGAACUGCACUCGAAACUACUAUUCUUGAGUGUCGGAGAGGAAAGCGGAAUUCCUGGUGUAGAGGUGAAAUUCGUAGAUAUCAGGAGGAACACCAGUGGCGAAGGCGGCUUUCUGGACGAUAACUGACGGCUGAGACGCGAAAAGCGUGGGGAGCAAACAGG